rnacentral:lncRNA from 1 species
GCCAGUGGCAUUGAAUUGCUAAAUUAUGGACUACAACCAAGUCAACUGUUUUGGACGUUUAUCUUCUAAACUGCUGUGUUGAAAGUAUUGAUGACUGGCUUUCAUCUAAAAAGAAGAGACCAAUACGAGCACAGUAUAUGAAGGUUUCUCAUACUUAAGUUCCAGGUUUUUAUCUGGUAAAAUGUUACACUUACUCGGUUGUAACUGAAGAUAUGACCAACUGCCAGAGUUUUCUCUGGGUGUUAACAGCGGUUGGACUACAGACAAUUGCUUCCGGGCAGCGUUCCAAAAUACUGGCUACAGCAGUCUCAUCGGCACCUAGUUCUUGUAAAAUAUUCGCAAUUUCUUCAACAUAGGUUUCAUCCUCUAAAAGUACCCAUCCUUUUAAUCUACGAAUUUUCCUAAUGUCAACUGAACAUUUAUAGAGCUUUUCCACUGUUCUUGUAUUUUCUUUGCUCGACUGUUUAUCAGUUGUAUAGGUGAAGCAUGCUAAGAAAGGUCUGUAUUUUGGAGGUGAUCGCAUCUUUCUGAAAGAACACAGCCUGCAGGACUGGGAUCUCAGCAGCAGCUUCCACAACAUGGCUGCAAUCUACUAGCUAGUUUCCACCGUCCUGGGACUUAAAUGGACUCAUUCUAUCUGAAAA